rnacentral:rRNA from 1 species
AAGGAAUAUUGGUCAAUGGACGAAAGUCUGAACCAGCCAUGCCGCGUGCAGGAUGACGGCCCUACGGGUUGUAAACUGCUUUUGUAUAGGAAGAAACCUCCGCUCGUGAGCGGGGCUGACGGUACUAUACGAA